rnacentral:rRNA from 1 species
AAUAGAUACCCGGGUAGUCCACGCCGUAAACGAUGAAUACUAGGUGUAGGGGUUGUCAUGACCUCUGUGCCGCCGCUAACGCAUUAAGUAUUCCGCCUGGGGAGUACGGUCGCAAGAUUAAAACUCAAAGGAAUUGACGGGGGCCCGCACAAGCAGCGGAGCAUGUGGUUUAAUUCGAAGCAACGCGAAGAACCUUACCUAGACUUGACAUCUCCUGCAUUACCCUUAAUCGGGAAAGUUCCUUCGGGGACAGGAAGACAGGUGGUGCAUGGUUGUCGUCAGCUCGUGUCGUGAGAUGUUGGGUUAAGUCCCGCAACGAGCGCAACCCUUAUUGUUAGUUGCUACCAUUUAGUUGGGCACUCUAGCGAGACUGCCCGGGUUAACCGGGAGGAAGGUGGGGAUGACGUCAAAUCAUCAUGCCCCUUAUGUCUAGGGCUACACACGUGCUACAAUGGCAAGUACAAAGAGACGCAAUAUCGCGAGAUGGAGCAAAACUCAAAAACUUGUCUCAGUUCGGAUUGUAGGCUGAAACUCGCCUACA